rnacentral:rRNA from 1 species
CACGUAGGGGGCAAGCGUUGUCCGGAUUUAUUGAGCGUAAAGAGCUCGUAGGUGGUUCGGUAAGUCGGGUGUGAAAACUCUGGGCUCAACCCAGAGACGCCACCCGAUACUGCCGUGACUAGAGUCUGGUAGGGGAGUGUGGAAUUCCUAGUGUAGCGGUGAAAUGCGCAGAUAUUAGGAGGAACACCUAUUGCGAAGGCAGCUCGCUGGGACGUAACUGACGCUGAGACGCGAAAGCGUGGGGAGCAAACAGG